AUAUUAAGCACCUGGGAUCCUGUUAAAAUGCAAGUUCUAUUGCAAUAGGUCUGAUGAGGGACCCGAGAUUCUGCAUUUCUAACAAGCUUCCAGAUGAGACAGUGCUGCUGGU
rnacentral:miRNA from 1 species